GAUGAACGCUGGCGGCGUGCCUAAUACAUGCAAGUCGAGCGAACGGACGAGAAGCUUGCUUCUCUGAUGUUAGCGGCGGACGGGUGAGUAACACGUGGAUAACCUACCUAUAAGACUGGGAUAACUUCGGGAAACCGGAGCUAAUACCGGAUAAUAUUUUGAACCGCAUGGUUCAAAAGUGAAAGACGGUCUUGCUGUCACUUAUAGAUGGAUCCGCGCUGCAUUAGCUAGUUGGUAAGGUAACGGCUUACCAAGGCAACGAUGCAUAGCCGACCUGAGAGGGUGAUCGGCCACACUGGAACUGAGACACGGUCCAGACUCCUACGGGAGGCAGCAGUAGGGAAUCUUCCGCAAUGGGCGAAAGCCUGACGGAGCAACGCCGCGUGAGUGAUGAAGGUCUUCGGAUCGUAAAACUCUGUUAUUAGGGAAGAACAUAUGUGUAAGUAACUGUGCACAUCUUGACGGUACCUAAUCAGAAAGCCACGGCUAACUACGUGCCAGCAGCCGCGGUAAUACGUAGGUGGCAAGCGUUAUCCGGAAUUAUUGGGCGUAAAGCGCGCGUAGGCGGUUUUUUAAGUCUGAUGUGAAAGCCCACGGCUCAACCGUGGAGGGUCAUUGGAAACUGGAAAACUUGAGUGCAGAAGAGGAAAGUGGAAUUCCAUGUGUAGCGGUGAAAUGCGCAGAGAUAUGGAGGAACACCAGUGGCGAAGGCGACUUUCUGGUCUGUAACUGACGCUGAUGUGCGAAAGCGUGGGGAUCAAACAGGAUUAGAUACCCUGGUAGUCCACGCCGUAAACGAUGAGUGCUAAGUGUUAGGGGGUUUCCGCCCCUUAGUGCUGCAGCUAACGCAUUAAGCACUCCGCCUGGGGAGUACGACCGCAAGGUUGAAACUCAAAGGAAUUGACGGGGACCCGCACAAGCGGUGGAGCAUGUGGUUUAAUUCGAAGCAACGCGAAGAACCUUACCAAAUCUUGACAUCCUUUGACAACUCUAGAGAUAGAGCCUUCCCCUUUGGGGGACAAAGUGACAGGUGGUGCAUGGUUGUCGUCAGCUCGUGUCGUGAGAUGUUGGGUUAAGUCCCGCAACGAGCGCAACCCUUAAGCUUAGUUGCCAUCAUUAAGUUGGGCACUCUAAGUUGACUGCCGGUGACAAACCAGAGGAAGGUGGGGAUGACGUCAAAUCAUCAUGCCCCUUAUGAUUUGGGCUACACACGUGCUACAAUGGACAAUACAAAGGGCAGCGAAACCGCGAGGUCAAGCAAAUCCCAUAAAGUUGUUCUCAGUUCGGAUUGUAGUCUGCAACUCGACUACAUGAAGCUGGAAUCGCUAGUAAUCGUAGAUCAGCAUGCUACGGUGAAUACGUUCCCGGGUCU
rnacentral:rRNA from 1 species